UGACCAGAUGUUUUGCGCGGACCACGGCGUAGUCCUGCCAGCCCGUAUCGCCGAACACCAGAUCGCCGGGGGUAAAGCCCGGCGCAUUGGAUUUCACCACUUCGGCAAUGGCGCCGCCCGCCAUCACUGUAUUGGCCUCGACGGCUGCACGGUAGGUCGCACCCUGCAUCCAGGCGCGGUUGGCCGCAUCGAGCGAGAUGUAAAGCACCCGCAGCAGAACCUCGCCGUCCUUGGGUUCGGGAAUGGCUGCUUCCGCCAUCUUGAAA
rnacentral:misc_RNA from 1 species